rnacentral:rRNA from 1 species
CCUAGGGUGGCAGCAGUGAGGAAUAUUGGUCAAUGGGCGCGAGCCUGAACCAGCCAAGUCGCGUGAGGGAAGACGGCCCUACGGGUUGUAAACCUCUUUUGCCGGGGAGCAACGGGCGCCACGUGUGGCGCCACUGAGAGUACCCGGAGAAAAAGCAUCGGCUAACUCCGUGCCAGCAGCCGCGGUAAUACGGAGGAUGCGAGCGUUAUCCGGAUUUAUUGGGUUUAAAGGGUGCGUAGGCGGAGCGUUAAGUCAGUGGUCAAAUUGAGGGGCUCAACCCCUGCCCGCCAUUGAAACUGGCGCUCUUGAGUUGGAGAGAAGUAUGCGGAAUGCGUGGUGUAGCGGUGAAAUGCAUAGAUAUCACGCAGAACCCCGAUUGCGAAGGCAGCAUGCCGGCUCCCUACUGACGCUGAAGCACGAAAGCGUGGGGAUCGAACAGGAUUAGAUACCCGUGUAGUC